AACGAACGCUGGCGGCAUGCCUAACACAUGCAAGUCGAACGAACCCUUCGGGGUUAGUGGCGCACGGGUGCGUAACGCGUGGGGAUCUGCCCUUUGCUUCGGAAUAACAGUUAGAAAUGACUGCUAAUACCGGAUGAUGUCGCAAGACCAAAGAUUUAUCGGUAAAGGAUGAACCCGCGUAGGAUUAGCUAGUUGGUGAGGUAAAGGCUCACCAAGGCGACGAUCCUUAGCUGGUCUGAGAGGAUGAUCAGCCACACUGGGACUGAGACACGGCCCAGACUCCUACGGGAGGCAGCAGUGGGGAAUAUUGGACAAUGGGCGAAAGCCUGAUCCAGCAAUGCCGCGUGAGUGAUGAAGGCCCUAGGGUUGUAAAGCUCUUUUACCAGGGAUGAUAAUGACAGUACCUGGAGAAUAAGCACCGGCUAACUCCGUGCCAGCAGCCGCCGUAA
rnacentral:rRNA from 1 species